GGAAAGAAAGAAAAGAAAAGGAAAAGACGAAAGGAAGAAGAAGGGAAAAAGAGAGAGAGAGAGAGAGAGAGAGAGACGUCAGCUUCCAUGGCCGACGGAGGAGGCGCCCGUCUAGGGCUCGGCGAAGCUGGCCGGAGGUGCAACUAGCGCCGCCGAGCUCAAGGGUGGCAAAGGUGGCAGCGUUAGGGACGACGGCAGGCGGCGAAAAGGGAGGAAAGCAGCAACUUUUUUGGACGCCGUUCAUAGCGUUUCCGGCGUCGGUAGCCACUAUUUUUGGUGGCGAUCGACUCCCCUUGGCCUGGGCUUCAUUUUGGCAGCAGUAGCGACGCGACGCUAAUGGUGGCUGGAGUUGGAAGUUCGCGGUGGAAAGAGAAAAUGGAUGGCAGCCGGCGUUUUCUGGUUUUUCCGGCGAGCUCCGGCGACUUUGGCUGAUCAGAGGACAUAUCUGGACUUUUCUCAGCUCAAGCUUUCUAAUGGCACCGGUUUCGUGGCGAUCGGACUCCGUUUGAAAAUUGACGACCGAGAUCAUCCGUAAAUCUCUUUGAAUGAUCGGGGGUCGGAUCAGAAGAUCAGAAGCGGGGAUCAUCAUCAGCGCAUCGUUUCGAGUCCAUUGGUGCAUUCAGAUCAUCGAUCGAACUCCGGCAGCUGGGGGCGAGUCGACCGAGCGAUCAAGCGUCUCUAUAAUCCAUCAGUUCGGCUCGCUCCACCCGAGGCCUCGGAGCAGAGCUAGGAGGUCGUCAAAGCUUACGAUUUUAUUGUUUUGUGUUGACUCGAGAUGGGACGACUGUAGAACAUGAACCAGAGACAAAAAAUAAAGGAGUAAAGGUCUGUAAAUUUUAAAAAGGUAAAUUAGGAAUUGCCCUGGUCGAGCAUUACUCUCUGGGUUGAGUAGAGUGAGUGUGCCGGAGUAAAGAUCCCUGGUCGAGCAUUGCUCUCUGGUCGCCGCCUUAUUUGGAAACCUAAGUGACCAGACUGGAGUUAAGGACCCUGGUUGAGCUACGCUCUCUGGGCGCCAGUCUUAUUGGAGUAAGAGAGCCGAAAGGCUAAGAGUGUUAGUGAUAAUUAAGUGUCUGAACUGGAUUUAAGGAUCCUAGUUGAGUUUCGCUCUUUGGGCGCCAGUUCUGUUAGAAUGAGAGAGAGUCGAGAUGUUUAGUGUUGGGAUUAGGGUUCUGCUGAGGCACUCCGUCCCGUAGUAGGUGAAAAUUAUUUUA